UACGAAGGGGGCUAGCGUUGCUCGGAAUGACUGGGCGUAAAGGGCGCGUAGGCGGCUCAUAGAGUCGGACGUGAAAUUCCCGGGCUUAACCUGGGGGCUGCGUUCGAUACCUGUGGGCUGGAGUGAGGAAGAGGGGUCGUGGAAUUCCCAGUGUAGAGGUGAAAUUCGUAGAUAUUGGGAAGAACACCAGUGGCGUAGGCGGCGACCUGGUCCUUUACUG
rnacentral:rRNA from 1 species